UGAGGGAAAGGUGAAAAGUACCCCGGCGAGGGGAGUGAAAUAGAACCUGAAACCAUAGACCUACAAGCAGUCGGAGGGCUAAUAGCGGGUUGGUGCUGAGUAGAAAUACUCGUGCGCACCGCUAGGCCUGACGGCGUGCCUCUUGGAGAAUGAGCCUGCGAGUUAAUUUUUGUGGCGAGGUUAAGCGAGAAACACGCGGAGCCGUAGCGAAAGCGAGUCUUAAUAGGGCGGCUAGUCGCAAGGAUUAGACCCGAAACC
rnacentral:ncRNA from 1 species